UACGUAGGGUGCGAGCGUUGUCCGGAAUUAUUGGGCGUAAAGAGCUUGUAGGCGGUUUGUCGCGUCUGCUGUGAAAAUCCGGGGCUCAACCCCGGACUUGCAGUGGGUACGGGCAGACUAGAGUGUGGUAGGGGAGACUGGAAUUCCUGGUGUAGCGGUGAAAUGCGCAGAUAUCAGGAGGAACACCGAUGGCGAAGGCAGAUCUCUGGGCCGUAACUGGACGCUGGAGGAGCGAAAGCAUGGGGAGCGAACAGG
rnacentral:rRNA from 1 species